rnacentral:rRNA from 1 species
UACGUAGGGGGCAAGCGUUGUCCGGAUUUAUUGGGCGUAAAGAGCGUGUAGGCGGCCAUACAGGUCAGCUGUGAAAACUCGAGGCUCAACCUCGAGACGUCGGUUGAAACCGUAUGGCUAGAGUCCGGAAGAGGAGAGUGGAAUUCCCGGUGUAGUGGUGAAAUGCGUAGAUAUCGGGAGGAACACCAGUGGCGAAGGCGACUUCCUGGCCUGUUCUUGACGCUGAGGCGCGAAAGCUAGGGUAGCAAACGGG